rnacentral:misc_RNA from 1 species
UACCCUUGACAUGCUAGGAAUCCUGCAGAGAUGUAGGAGUGCCCGAAAGGGAACCUAGACACAGGUGCUGCAUGGCUGUCGUCAGCUCGUGUCGUGAGAUGUUGGGUUAAGUCCCGCAACGAGCGCAACCCUUGCCAUUAGUUGCUACAUUCAGUUGAGCACUCUAAUGGGACUGCCGGUGACAAACCGGAGGAAGGUGGGGAUGACGUUUACGUGCACUU